AGAAAUAAAAAAUAAUAGAAGUAACAAUAAUGAUAGUAAUAAUAUAAAUAAAUAUGGAGAGGGUAUAUAUAAUAUAAUAAUAAUAUAUACAUGAGAAGUACUGAUAAUAGCGCAAAUAAUAACAAAAAUAAUAAAAUUAACUAAUUUAACAGUAAAAUAGUUAAAUAAUAAAAAAAGGAUUAAAUUGAGGACUGAAACAAAUUAUUAAGUACAAAUUUAGAUAAACAAAAAUGAUUGCAAACUGAAUUAAUAGUGGAAGGACUUAUUUGGCAAAUAACCCACUAUAGCAAAAACGCGCGGAUCUCAGGUAAGGCGGGUCGGGUCACACGGGUAUGGCCAUCGCUCCGGCGAGGUUUCAGUCCGGUCGCCACCGUAGACCACCACCGUCGCCGGCCACCGCACACGGUGGCUGAAAAUAUAAAAGGUACGCUUUUUUAUAUAUUUUUUUUAAAUAUUUUUUUUUUGAUAUAAUCUAAUAUAUUGUAAAGGAAAAGAUAGAUUCAAAAAUAGAGAAAAAAAAAGAAGAAGAAGAAAAGAAAAGAAAACCUUAGCCCGAUUUUGAACCUCAUUUCUAUUUCAAUUGCUUUCGUUGUUCUUUUUGCUUUGAAUUGCUGCUGUUUUUAUUCAAUGUUUCUC
rnacentral:lncRNA from 1 species